rnacentral:lncRNA from 10 species
GAAGACCAUUUAGAAUAGGCAGCAAUCUAUUCUAGAGGCAGCAGUCACAAUGAGGAAUGAAGAGGGCCUGAGCUAGAGAAGUGGACAGGCUGGCAAGAGGUUAAUAGGGUCUGGGGUUAGGGAGAGAGGAAAUGCAAGGCAGGCACUCAGAUCUGGCACCUAGGACAGGAAAUGGAGGAGGGAGAGGAGCAGGCUGGGAACAGGACAAGAGAAAAGAAUGAGUCUCAGCAUCUAGGCUUUGACUGAAGUUACAGGUUUCAUCUUUUUUUUUUUUUUUUUGACAGGGUCUCACCAUGUCGUCCAGGCUGCAGUGCAGUGGCAUCUGGCUCACAAGCAGCCUUUACCUCCAGGGUUAGAGACCGGGGUCUCACUGUGUCAUACAGGCUUGUCUGGAACUCCUGGGAUCAAGCGAACCUCCCACCUCUGCCUCCCAAAGUGUUGCGAUUAAAGGCGUGAGCCACCGUACCCAGACUCAUCCACUUUGUUAUUCAACAGAUAGUGAAUCCUCCUCUGUGCAAGUCCUGGAAUUAUGGUUUCAGGAUUCAUUGGCACAACAGUUGGCAACUGAAAUUAUGGGUAUAGACAGGUCAUCUAGGAAAAAAGUGUGUAAAAUGAGAAGAAAAGAAGGCCCAGAACAGAUCGCUAAGGUACGAUUUGUUGUUGUUGUUUGAGACAGUCUUUUUUUUUUUUUUUUUUUUUUUUUUUGAGACAGAGUCUCUCCGUCGCCCAGGCUGGAGUGCAGUGGCGCGAUCUCCACUCACUGCAGGCUCCGCCCCCUGGAGUUCACGCCAUUUCCUGCCUCAGCCUCCCGAGUAGCUGGGACUACAGGCGCCCGCCACCUCACCCGG